CGAGCCAUCUUGCAGAGUGGCGUCGGUAGCCAGCAUGGAGAACCAGCUGCCUGUGCAGGAGCCAGGGUAACUCUAGUAACUGAGUUUUGAUCAGAAGUCAAGGGUCACAGGGCUCAGGGAAUCCGGUGAGUAUUUUCUCUUUCAACGUGGACAAAGACAGGCAGCAGGAAGGGGGCCAAACUCUGAGAUGGCACGUAGAGGCCAAGAUUUUCUGAAAACCUACUGUGCUUACAGCUACUGGUUGGAACAGCCCUGCCUAAUACAUGACACUCUCCUCAUCCAUUCCCCGUUGUGGCUAACUAAACCAGGGAUGGGCUCUCAGUCAAGACCAGCUGAUCCUGUGACCAGUGACCAGAUUCCCUCCUGAGAACUGGAAUUAAGAAAAAGAGACUGUUGUUGAUGGUUGGUUCUGAGCCUUGAAGCUUUAAGUUCAUGUAGACUCAGGGAUUGAAGAGGACGAUAUUGGGCCAUCUGCAAGGAAACGAGACCCGCUUGGAGAGAGAAAGAUGAAGAUGCUAAGAAAGGAUGAAGUGAUAAUAACGAUAAGAGAUGGUAAAGAAGGUGCAGAGACACCAUGAAAGAAAGAGACAGAAAGGAAAAAAAGAUCAGAGAGAAGAAAAGACUUCCCAGAGUGACUAAGACUCACCUUUGUGCCUCACAUUUCAAAUUCCUAUCUUCCGUCCCCAUGAGACACAUGUUUUACUCUGGCACCCAACUCAAAUAACAAGUACCAACUCUGCUCUCUAGAAGCUUAUAAUAUAGAAGAGAUACCCCUCAGAUGAGCUAUCAUAUACUGAAGAUUGAGGCAUUAAAUGCAGGACGAUAAAUACAGAUAAAACAUAAUAAUGCAUUAAAAAUAAUAUUCUAUUUUACUUGCUGCCCUUAGAAAGUGUGAGAUUUGCUCACAUUCUCUGGAUAAGCCUCUUUUACUUUCUUGAUCCAGCAUGAGAGAAUUUAUGUUCCAUGUAACGAAAAGAGCCUUGGCUACAAUAAGUCAAUUAAUGAGAGACGUUUUCUAAAGCUUGGCGGAACAGACUCAUCAGGAUUCUAGAUCCUUAGGGAGUAGGAUCAGAAUCCACAGUGACCCUAUUAAUUUGGAUGAGAAACUGGAAAAAUGGACACUGAAAGGUGGUGUUAAUAUGCAGGGGAAAUAAAAACAACCUUUCAAAAAAUAGCA
rnacentral:lncRNA from 1 species